UUCGCCCUUAGAGUUUGAUCCUGGCUCAGAACGAACGCUGGCGGCAUGCCUAACACAUGCAAGUCGAACGAGACCUUCGGGUCUAGUGGCGCACGGGUGCGUAACGCGUGGGAAUCUGCCCUUUGCUUCAAGAAUAACAGUUACAAAUGACUGCUAAUACCGGAUGAUGUCAUCGGACCAAAGAUUUAUCGGAAAAGGAUGAGCCCGCGAACGAUUAGGUAGUUGGUGGGAUAAAGGCCUACCAAGCCGACCAUCCUUAGCUGGUCUGAUAGGAUGAUCACCCACACUGGGACUGAUACACCGCCCACACUCCUACAGGAGGCAGCAGUGGGGAAUAUUGGACAAUGGGCUAAAGCCUGAUCCAACAAAGCCUCAUGAGUGAUGAACGUCUUCCGGUCAUACAGCUCUUUUACGAUGGAUGAUAAUGACAGUACCUGGAGAAUAAACUCCUGCUAACUCCAUGCAAGCAGGCCCGGUAAUACGGACGGAGCUAGCUGAUGUUCCGAAUUAAUGAGCGUAAGAACUACGGAUGCGGAUAUUCUAGUCACACGUGAAAGCUCGGGGCUCAACCGCUCAACUGCCGUUGAUACU
rnacentral:rRNA from 1 species